rnacentral:misc_RNA from 1 species
UUUCCGUAGGUGAACCUGCGGAAGGAUCAUUAUUGUAUAACCGAGGUGCGAGGGCUGUCGCUGACCCGAAAGGUCGUGCACGCCCGAGUGCCCUCACACGCAUCCAUCUCACCCCUAUGUGCACCACCGCGUGGGUCCCCCAUUGGCUUGUUCGGAGGGGGGCUUACGUUUUCACACAAACUUUGUAUGCAGUGUAGAAUGUAUUUUUUGUUUUUGCGAUCACGCAAUCAAUACAACUUUCAACAACGGAUCUCUUGGCUCUC